AAGGUCCUUGUGGUGGCCAAGGUGGUCCAAGAUGAUCUAAAGGUCAUCCAAGGUGGCCUGAAGGUCCUUGUGGUGGCCAAGGUGGCCUGAAGGUCAUUCAAGGUGGACCAAGGUGGUCCAAGGGUCAUUCAUGGUGGGCCAAGAGUUGUCCAAGGUGGUCCAAGGGUCAUCCAAGGUGGUCCAAAGGUUGUCCAAGAUGGUCCAAGGGUCAUCCAAGGUGGCCUGAAGGUCAUUUGAGAUGGUCCAAGGUGAUCUAAAAGUCAUCCAA
rnacentral:lncRNA from 1 species